AGAGUUUGAUUCUGGCUCAGAACGAACGCUGGCAGCGUGGAUUAGGCAUGCAAGUCGAACGGGAAGCCAUGGUUUUGAUCCUUCGGGAGAUAAACCGUGGUGGAGAGUGGCGCAAGGGUGAGUAUCACGUGGGUAAUCUACCCUCGAGUCCGGGAUAACCCCGCGAAAGCGGAGCUAAUACCGGAUACGGUACCAUGUCGCAUGGCAUGGAUAUUAAAGGCGGGGAUCUUUCGGGACCUGCCGCUUGUGGAGGAGCCCGCGUCCCAUCAGCUUGUUGGUGAGGUAAUGGCUCACCAAGGCUUACGGGUAGCUGGUCUGAGAGGAUGGUCAGCCACACUGGGACUGAGACACUGCCCAGACUCCUACGGGAGGCUGCAGUCGAGAAUCAUUUGCAAUGCGCGAAAGCGUGACAAUGCGACGCUGCGUGGAGGAUGAAGGCUUUCGAGUUGUAAACUCCUGUCAUGAGGGAACAACGGGUCCGUCAGUAAUAUGGGCGGGCUGUGAUGGUACCUCAAGAGGAAGCCACGGCUAACUCUGUGCCAGCAGCCGCGGUAACACAGAGGUGGCAAGCGUUGUUCGGAUUUACUGGGCGUAAAGCGUGCGUAGGUGGUACCGUAUGUCGGGUGUGAAAUCCCGCCGCUCAACGGCGGAACUGCACUCGAAACUGCGGUGCUGGAGUCUAGGAUGGGAGAGCGGAAUUCUUGGUGUAGCGGUGAAAUGCGUUGAUAUCAAGAAGAACACCGGCGGCGAAGGCGGCUCUCUGGAAUAGUACUGACACUGUGGCACGAAAGCUGGGGUAGCGAACAGGAUUAGAUACCCUGGUAGUCCCAGCCGUAAACUGUGUGCACUUGGUGUGGGGAGUAUUGACCCUCUCCGUGCCGGAGUUAACACGUUAAGUGCACCGCCUGGGGAGUACGGCCGCAAGGCUAAAACUCAAAGAAAUUGACGGGUCCCCGCACAAGCGGAGGAGCAUGUGGCCUAAUUCGAUGCAACGCGAAGAACCUUACCAGGGCUUGACAUGCAGCUGCUUCCUUCCCGAAAGGGAAGGGUCCUUAGAGGGUGCUGCACAGGUGCUGCAUGGCUGUCGUCAGUUCGUGCCGUGAGGUGUUGGGUUAAGUCCCGCAACGAACGCAACCCUUAUGUUUAGUUGCUAUCAGCGGUGUUAAAUCGUUGAGCACUCUAGACAGACUGCCCGUACUAAGCGGGAGGAAGGUGGGGACGACGUCAAGUCAGUAUGGCCCUUACGCCCUGGGCUGCACACGUGCUACAAUGGCCGGUACAAUGGGAAGCGAUACCGCAAGGUGGAGCAAAUCCUCAAAGCCGGCCUCAGUUCAGAUUGGAGUCUGCAACUCGACUCCAUGAAGUCGGAUUCGCUAGUAACGGCGCAUCAGCUACGGCGCCGUGAAUACGUUCCCGGGGAUUGUACACACCGCCCGUCACAUCAUGAAAGCCGUCUGCACCCGAAGUCGCUGUGCUAACUCCGAGCUUGUCGAAGGGAAGCAGGCGCCGAAGGUGUGGGUGGUGAUUGGGAUGAAGUCGUAACAAGG
rnacentral:rRNA from 1 species